AUUGAACGCUGGCGGCAGGCCUAACACAUGCAAGUCGAACGAGUGGCAGAAGGGUGAGUCAUGUCUGGGAAACUGCCUGAUGGAGGGGGGUACCUACUGGAAACGGUAGCUAAUACCACAUACCAUCAGAUGAGCCCCGAGGGGCUGAGCUUGUGGGUGGGGUAACGGCUCACCAAGGAGACGAUCCCUACCUGGGCUGAGAGGAUGACCAGACACACGGGAACUGAGACACGGUCCAGACUCCUACGGGAGGCAGCAGUGGGGAAUAUUGCACGAUGGGCGCAAGCCUGAUGCAGCCAUGCCGCGUGUAUGAAGAAGGCCUUCGGGUUGUAAAGUACUUCCAGCGGGGAGGCGUUACCCGCAGAAGAAGCACCGGCUAACUCCGUGCCAGCAGCCGCGGUAAUUC
rnacentral:rRNA from 1 species